CAAAAUGUAGCUUAACAAAAGCCUCCCGCUUACACCGAGAAGAUACCUGUGUUAAACCAGAUCAUUUUGA
rnacentral:tRNA from 1 species